rnacentral:rRNA from 1 species
UGAGGAAUAUUGGUCAAUGGGCGAGAGCCUGAACCAGCCAAGUCGCGUGAAGGAAGACUGCCUUAUGGGUUGUAAACUUCUUUUAUACAGGAAUAAAAAGGCUUACGUGUAGGCCAUUGCAAGUACUGUAUGAAUAAGCAUCGGCUAACUCCGUGCCAGCAGCCGCGGUAAUACGGAGGAUGCGAGCGUUAUCCGGAUUUAUUGGGUUUAAAGGGUGCGCAGGCGGGCUUUUAAGUCAGCGGUGAAAUCUGGACGCUUAACGUCCAAACUGCCGUUGAAACUGGGAGUCUUGAGUAUGGAUGAAGUAGGCGGAAUUCGUUGUGUAGCGGUGACAUGCAUAGAUAUAACGAGGAACUCCGAUUGCGUAGGCAGCUUACUAAGCCAUAACUGACGCUCAUGUACGAAAGCGUGGGGAUCAAACAGGAUUAGAUACCCUGGUAGUCCACGCCCUAAACGAUGUCAACUAGUUGUUGGGGAUUCAUUUCCUUAGUAACGUAGCUAACGCGUGAAGUUGACCGCCUGGGAGUACGGUCGCAAGAUUAAAACUCAAAGG